rnacentral:rRNA from 1 species
AGGUGCUGCAUGGUUGUCGUCAGCUCGUGCCGUGAGGUGUUGGGUUAAGUCCCGCAACGAGCGCAACCCCUAUCUACAGUUGCUAGCAGGUAAUGUGGGACUCUAGGGAGACUGCCGGCGUAAGCCGGAGGAAGGUGGGGACGACGUCAAAUCAUCAUGGCCUUUAUGCCUGGGCGACACACGUGCUACAAUGGCGAUACAGAGGGCAGCCAGACCGCGAGGUUGAGCGAAUCCCACAAAGUACGUCCCAGUUCGGAUCGAAGUCUGCAACCCGACUUCGUGAAGGCGGAAUCGCUAGUAAUCGCGCAUCAGCCAUGGCGCGGUGAAUACGUUCCCGGACCUUGUACACA